GAAAGACAUUUGAGAAUUAAAGUAACUGAGUCUAAUGGAUCUUUAUUUCACAUCAGAAUUAUGUAUAAGACAGAGAGUAAAGCUAGUAAAAUAAAGCUCUAACUGUGAUUAAAGAAAUGUAUUAAAGACUGGUUGAAAAAAUUAUAUAUCUUACUCAUAUAAGUUCAUACAUUAAAUAUGACUUAAAAUGUAAUUAGUCCAUCUAUGCAUAAUUUAAGAGAUACUAUAUUUAUUCAGU
rnacentral:lncRNA from 1 species